rnacentral:lncRNA from 1 species
GAGACAUUCUGUUUCUCAAAGAUGAGGCCUGUCGCCCUUCCAGGAAUGUGUUCCCUGGAGCUGCCACUGGUCUUUUUCUUGCUAAAUUAGUUGAAUACAACCCUGCCUUAAAUUCCACAGGAGGAGGGGCAGGAUAGUUCCUCGGCACGGCACUUGCCUGGCAUGCAUGAGGGCCAGCACUGCAGGAAACAAAAGACUAACCUGGAGAGGCACUGUAUCAUUACAUCACCACAAGAAUGGCUGCAAGCCGGGCGUGGUGGCACAUGCCUGUAAUCCCAGCACUCAGGAG